UGCAAGGGGGAGGUAUGGAAGAACUAAAAAACAGAGGUAUGCAUAUAAUGAGAACACAUAGGAGAAUGCAAGGGGGAGGUAUGGAAGACCUAAAAAACAGAGGCAUGCAGAUAAUGAGAACACGUAGGAGAAUGCAAGGGGGAGGUAUGGAAAACCUAAAAAACAGAAGUAUGCAGAUAAUGAGAACACGUAGGAGAAUGCAAGGGGGAGGUAUGGAAGAACUAAAAAACAGAGGUAUGCAGAUAAUGAGAACACAUAGGAGAAUGCAAGGGGGAGGUAUGGAAGACCUAAAAACAGAGGUAGGCAGAUAAUGAGAACACAUAGGAGAAUGCAAGGGGGAGGUAUGGAAGACCUAAAAAACAGAGGUAUGGAAGAACUAAAAAACAGAGGUAUGCAGAUAAUGAGAACACAUAGGAGAAUGCAAGGGGGGGUAUGGAAGAACUAAAAAACAGAGGUAUGCAGAUAAUGAGAACACAUAGGAGAAUGCAAGGGGGGGUAUGGAAGAACUAAAAAACAGAGGUAUGCAGAUAAUGAGAACACGUAGGAGAAUGCAAGGGGGGUAUGGAAGAACUAAAAAACAGAGGUAUGCAGAUAAUGAGAACACAUAGGAGAAUGCAAGGGGGGUAUGGAAGAACUAAAAAACAGAGGUAUGCAGAUAAUGAGAACACAUAGGAGAAUGCAAGGGGGAGGUAUGGAAGAACUAAAAACAGAGGUAUGCAGAUAAUGAGAACACAUAGGAGAAUGCAAGGGGGAGGUAUGGAAGAACUAAAAAACAGAGGUAUGCAGAUAAUGAGAACACAUAGGAGAAUGCAAGGGGGGGUAUGGAAGAACUAAAAAACAGAGGUAUGCAGAUAAUGAGAACACAUAAAAGAAUGCAAGGGGGGGUAUGGAACAACUAAAAACAGAGGUAUGCAGAUAAUGAGAACACAUAGGAGAAUGCAAGGGGGGUAUGGAAGAACUAAAAAACAGAGGUAUGCAGAUAAUGAGAACACAUAGGAGAAUGCAAGGGGGAGGUAUGGAAGAACUAAAAAACAGAGGUAUGCAGAUAAUGAGAACACAUAGGAGAAUGCAAGGGGGGGUAUGGAAGAACUAAAAAACAGAGGUAUGCAGAUAAUGAGAACACAUAGGAGAAUGCAAGGGGGAGGUAUGGAAGAACUAAAAAACAGAGGUAUGCAGAUAAUGAGAACACAUAGGAGAAUGCAAGGGGGGGUAUGGAAGAACUAAAAAACAGAGGUAUGCAGAUAAUGAGAACACAUAGGAGAAUGCAAGGGGGAGGUAUGGAAGAACUAAAAACAGAGGUAUGCAGAUAAUGAGAACACAUAGGAGAAUGCAAGGGGGAGGUAUGGAAGAACUAAAAACAGAGGUAUGCAGAUAAUGAGAACACAUAGGAGAAUGCAAGGGGGGGUAUGGAACAACUAAAAAACAGAGGUAUGCAGAUAAUGAGAACACAUAGGAGAAUGCAAGGGGGGGGGUAUGGAAGACCUAAAAAACAGAGGUAUGCAGAUAAUGAGAACACAUAGGAGAAUGCAAGGGGAGGUAUGGAAGACCUAAAAAACAGAGGUAUGCAGAUAAUGAGAACACAUAGGAGAAUGCAAGGGGGAGGUAUGGAAGACCUAAAAACAGAGGUAUGCAGAUAAUGAGAACACAUAGGAGAAUGCAAGGGGGAGGUAUGGAAGAACUAAAAACAGAGGUAUGCAGAUAAUGAGAACACAUAGGAGAAUGCAAGGGGGAGGUAUGGAAGAACUAAAAAACAGAGGUAUGCAGAUAAUGAGAACACAUAGGAGAAUGCAAGGGGAGGUAUGGAAGAACUAAAAAACAGAGGUAUGCAGAUAAUGAGAACACAUAGGAGAAUGCAAGGGGGAGGUAUGGAAGACCUAAAAAACAGAGGUAUGCAGAUAAUGAGAACACAUAGGAGAAUGCAAGGGGGAGGAGGUAUGGAAGAACUAAAAAACAGAGGUAUGCAGAUAAUGAGAACACAUAGGAGAAUGCAAGGGGGAGGUAUGGAAGAACUAAAAAACAGAGGUAUGCAGAUAAUGAGAACACAUAGGAGAAUGCAAGGGGGAGGUAUGGAAGAACUAAAAAACAGAGGUAUGCAGAUAAUGAGAACACAUAGGAGAAUGCAAGGGGGAGGUAUGGAAGAACUAAAAACAGAGGUAUGCAGAUAAUGAGAACACAUAGGAGAAUGCAAGGGGGAGGUAUGGAAGAACUAAAAACAGAGGUAUGCAGAUAAUGAGAACACAUAGGAGAAUGCAAGGGGGAGGUAUGGAAGAACUAAAAACAGAGGUAUGCAGAUAAUGAGAACACAUAGGAGAAUGCAAGGGGGAGGUAUGGAAGACCUAAAAACAGAGGUAUGCAGAUAAUGAGAACACAUAGGAGAAUGCAAGGGGAGGUAUGGAAGAACUAAAAACAGAGGUGUGCAGAUAAUGAGCACACAUAGGAGAAUGCAAGGGGGGGUAUGGAAGAACUAAAAAACAGAGGUAUGCAGAUAAUGAGAACACAUAGGAGAAUGCAAGGGGGAGGUAUGGAAGAACUAAAAAACAGAGGUAUGCAGAUAAUGAGAACACAUAGGAGAAUGCAAGGGGGGGUAUGGAAGAACUAAAAAACAGAGGUAUGCAGAUAAUGAGAACACAUAGGAGAAUGCAAGGGGGGUAUGGAAGACCUAAAAACAGAGGUAUGCAGAUAAUGAGAACACAUAAAAGAAUGCAAGGGGGGGUAUGGAACAACUAAAAAACAGAGGUAUGCAGAUAAUGAGAACACAUAGGAGAAUGCAAGGGGGGUAUGGAAGAACUAAAAAACAGAGGUAUGCAGAUAAUGAGAACACAUAGGAGAAUGCAAGGGGGAGGUAUGGAAGAACUAAAAAACAGAGGUAUGCAGAUAAUGAGAACACAUAGGAGAAUGCAAGGGGAGGUAUGGAAGAACUAAAAACAGAGGUAUGCAGAUAAUGAGAACACAUAGGAGAAUGCAAGGGGGAGGUAUGGAAGACCUAAAAACAGAGGUAUGCAGAUAAUGAGAACACAUAGGAGAAUGCAAGGGGAGGUAUGGAAGACCUAAAAAACAGAGGUAUGCAGAUAAUGAGAACACAUAGGAGAAUGCAAGGGGGGUAUGGAAGAACUAAAAAACAGAGGUAUGCAGAUAAUGAGAACACAUAGGAGAAUGCAAGGGGGAGGUAUGGAAGACCUAAAAACAGAGGUAUGCAGAUAAUGAGAACACAUAGGAGAAUGCAAGGGGAGGUAUGGAAGACCUAAAAAACAGAGGUAUGCAGAUAAUGAGAACACAUAGGAGAAUGCAAGGGGGAGGUAUGGAAGACCUAAAAACAGAGGUAUGCAGACAAUAAGAACACGUAGGAGAAUGCAAGGGGCGGUAUGGAACAACUAAAAAAAAGAGGUAUGCAGAUAAUGAGAACACAUAGGAGAAUGCAAGGGGGGUAUGGAAGACCUAAAAACAGAGGUAUGCAGAUAAUGAGAACACAUAGGAGAAUGCAAGGGGGAGGUAUGGAAGAACUAAAAACAGAGGUAUGCAGAUAAUGAGAACACAUAGGAGAAUGCAAGGGGAGGUAUGGAAGAACUAAAAAACAGAGGUAUGCAGAUAAUGAGAACACAUAGGAGAAUGCAAGGGGAGGUAUGGAAGACCUAAAAAACAGAGGUAUGCAGAUAAUGAGAACACAUAGGAGAAUGCAAGGGGAGGUAUGGAAGACCUAAAAACAGAGGUAUGCAGAUAAUGAGAACACAUAGGAGAAUGCAAGGGGGAGGUAUGGAAGACCUAAAAACAGAGGUAUGCAGAUAAUGAGAACACAUAGGAGAAUGCAAGGGGGAGGUAUGGAAGACCUAAAAAACAGAGGUAUGCAGAUAAUGAGAACACAUAGGAGAAUGCAAGGGGAGGUAUGGAAGACCUAAAAAACAGAGGUAUGCAGAUAAUGAGAACACAUAGGAGAAUGCAAGGGGAGGUAUGGAAGACCUAAAAAACAGAGGUAUGCAGAUAAUGAGAACACAUAGGAGAAUGCAAGGGGGAGGUAUGGAAGACCUAAAAAACAGAGGUAUGCAGAUAAUGAGAACACAUAGGAGAAUGCAAGGGAGGUAUGGAAGAACUAAAAAACAGAGGUAUGCAGAUAAUGAGAACACAUAGGAGAAUGCAAGGGGGGUAUGGAAGAACUAAAAAACAGAGGUAUGCAGAUAAUGAGAACACAUAGGAGAAUGCAAGGGGGAGGUAUGGAAGAACUAAAAAACAGAGGUAUGCAGAUAAUGAGAACACAUAAAAGAAUGCAAGGGGGGGUAUGGAACAACUAAAAAACAGAGGUAUGCAGAUAAUGAGAACACAUAGGAGAAUGCAAGGGGGAGGUAUGGAAGAACUAAAAAACAGAGGUAUGCAGAUAAUGAGAACACAUAGGAGAAUGCAAGGGGGGUAUGGAAGAACUAAAAAACAGAGGUAUGCAGAUAAUGAGAACACAUAGGAGAAUGCAAGGGGAGGUAUGGAAGACCUAAAAAACAGAGGUAUGCAGAUAAUGAGAACACAUAGGAGAAUGCAAGGGGGAGGUAUGGAAGACCUAAAAAACAGAGGUAUGCAGAUAAUGAGAACACAUAGGAGAAUGCAAGGGGGAGGUAUGGAAGAACU